rnacentral:rRNA from 1 species
AUUGAACGCUGGCGGCAUGCUUUACACAUGCAAGUCGAACGGUAACAGGCCGCAAGGUGCUGACGAGUGGCGAACGGGUGAGUAAUGCAUCGGAACGUGCCCAGUCGUGGGGGAUAACGCAGCGAAAGCUGUGCUAAUACCGCAUACGAUCUAUGGAUGAAAGCGGGGGACCGUAAGGCCUCGCGCCAUUGGAGCGGCCGAUGUCAGAUUAGGUAGUUGGUGGGGUAAAGGCUCACCAAGCCAACGAUCUGUAGCUGGUCUGAGAGGACGACCAGCCACACUGGGACUGAGACACGGCCCAGACUCCUACGGGAGGCGGCAGUGGGGAAUUUUGGACAAUGGGCGCAAGCCUGAUCCAGCAAUGCCGCGUGCAGGAAGAAGGCCUUCGGGUCGUAAACUGCUUUUGUACGGAACGAAAAGGUUUGGGUUAAUACCCUGGGCCGAUGACGGUACCGUAAGAAUAAGCACCGGCUAACUACGUGCCAGCAGCCGCGGUAA